rnacentral:rRNA from 1 species
CACGUAGGGCGCAAGCGUUGUCCGGAAUUAUUGGGCGUAAAGAGCUCGUAGGCGGUUUGUUGCGUCCGCUGUGAAAACUCGGGGCUUAACCCCGAGCCUGCAGUGGAUACGGGCAGACUAGAGGUAGGUAGGGGAGAAUGGAAUUCCCGGUGUAGCGGUGAAAUGCGCAGAUAUCGGGAGGAACACCGGUGGCGAAGGCGGUUCUCUGGGCCUUACCUGACGCUGAGGAGCGAAAGCGUGGGGAGCAAACAGG